UACCAGCACCCCGAGUGGUCGGGACGUUUUAUUGGGCCUAAAGCAUCCGUAGCCGGUUCUACAAGUCUUCCGUUAAAUCCACCUGCUCAACAGAUGGGCUGCGGAAGAUACUAUGGAGCUAGGAGGCGGGAGAGGCAAGCGGUACUCGAUGGGUAGGGGUAAAUCGUUGAUCCAUUGAAGACCACCGGUGGCGAAGGCGGGUCUCUGGGCCGAUGACUGACGCUGAGGAGCGAAAGCGUGGGGAGCGAACAGG
rnacentral:rRNA from 1 species